rnacentral:rRNA from 1 species
AUGAACGCUAGCGGGAGGCCUAACACAUGCAAGCCGAGCGGUAGAGUUUCUUCGGAAACUUGAGAGCGGCGCACGGGUGCGUAACACGUGUGCAACCUACCUUUAUCUGGGGGAUAGCCUUUCGAAAGGAAGAUUAAUACCUCAUAAUAUAAUGAUUGGCAUCAAUUAUUAUUGAAAACUCCGGUGGAUAGAGAUGGGCACGCGUAAGAUUAGAUAGUUGGUGAGGUAACGGCUCACCAAGUCAAUGAUCUUUAGGGGUCCUGAGAGGGAGAUCCCCCACACUGGUACUGAGCCACAGACCAGACUCCUACGGGAGGCAGCAGUGAGGAAUAUUGGACGCUGGGUGAGAGCCUGAUCCAGCCAUCCCGCGUAAAGGAUGACGGUCCUAUGGAUUGUAAACUUCUUUUGUACAGGGAUAAACCUACCCUCGUGAGGGUAGCUGAAGGUACUGUACGAAUAAGCACCGGCUAACUCCGUG